rnacentral:rRNA from 1 species
AACCUGCCCAAGAGAUCGGGAUAACACCUGGAAACAGAUGCUAAUACCGGAUAACAACAGAUGAUGCCUAUCAACUGUUUAAAAGAUGGUUCUGCUAUCACUCUUGGAUGGACCUGCGGUGCAUUAGCUAGUUGGUAGGGUAACGGCCUACCAAGGCGAUGAUGCAUAGCCGAGUUGAGAGACUGAUCGGCCACAUUGGGACUGAGACACGGACCCAAACUCCUACGGGAGGCAGCAGGU